GAAGGGAGGAGGUGUUCUCUUUGUGGCAAGGGAAAUAUCCAAGUUGAGGCCUAAACCAUUUAGGUUUGGAUAAAUGUGAAUAUUCAACAAUGGAGCAAAUGGCCUCACUAAAAGCCCUAGGCCCAUACAGUACGUCUUCCAUUUUCUAUCAUAGCUAGGGCUGUCCAGUGGCCCAAACAAUCUGACCCGCUCGACCUAAAGGUCCAUGGGCGAUUCUGAAUGCAAGACUCGGUCGGUCAAGGGUUGUGUUUUAAGAAUAACCAAAUAAUUGGUUCGGGUUUUAGAUUAUAAAAUAUUUCACCCGAAUAACCGGAACCGACCGAAUUAUGAAUGAAUAUGUGGCUUCAGUAAUUGGGUAACGUAAAGCAAGAGCAUAAAUAAGUUCAGACUUUUUUGGCACAAGUUCCCAAUUUUCAAAUCCAACAUUUAAAUCAAAUCAAGAUUCAAAAUCUAUGGUCACAAUUACACUUUACAUACUUAUUUGAGUCAUAUCAGUAGACUCUUGUACAAAUUCAUAUCAGUGAUUUAGGGGCACAGGUACCAAAUUUACAAAUCAACCAUUAAAAUCAAAAUUAAUAACAAAAUCAAAUGGUCACAAUUAGAGCUCAAUCUCUUGAUCUGAUAUCUCAUAUCUCUCAGACUUUCUCUCUAAUCUCUUCACUAGUUCACUACGAAAUCUUCACUCUUCACUCUUCUCUCUUUAAGCUUUGGUUUUCUCACCAAUGAACAGACCAAACUCUCAAACUCUUAGUUCUCACUUCACUGCUCUCUACUCCAAAGUCCAAACUCUAGCUUCUCACAACAAGUUCAAACCUAGCUGCUACCACCGCCAACACCCACUCCUCUCUUUGCCGCCGCCAUCACCCACUCCUCUCCCUGCCGCCAAUCAAUAUGGGUUGAAGAGAUCAUCCUUGUUUUUCUACCUUACUCAAUUCUUACUUCAAACUGUUUAAGGAAUUGAAAGUUGUCCAAGUGGGGUUUUUAGUCUUCAAAUUUGAAACUCCAACACCCACGGUCUCUUUAAGGUAAUGGAACCCUUCACUGAUGCACCCUCUGUCCAAACAUCAGCUGCUACACAAGUUGAUGGUUCUACUACCACCCAAGCUAAUGGUGCUAUUACCACCCAAGAGGUUGCUACUGCUUCCUAAGCUAAAGCUGCUGAUGCUGAGUUGCCCCCAGUUCCACCUAGCUAGCAAAGUGAGUAAGAUUGGUAUUGGUAAUGGUAGGAAAAAAUCUAUAGUUUGGAAUCAUUUUGAAAAAAAUAAAGGUAGAAGAGGAUGUCUUUAAGGCUAUAUGUAAUUAUUGCCAAAAAUCAUAUCAUGUUGAUAGUAAGAGAUGUGAUACUAGUAAUUUGUUAGCUCAUGUACCAAACUGUCUCAAGAACCCUAAUAAAGAAGAUCUAGCCAAAGUGCAGAAAACCUUAGCUUUUGAACCCAAAAAGGAUAAAAAAGAAGGGUUCCAACUUGUGUCAACAACCUUUACAGUUGAGGCUUCUAGAAAUGCACUUGCUGAAAUAAUUAUAAUUGAUGAGUUGCCUUUUAGGUGUGUUGAGGGGUAUGGG